GAGGCAGGAGCAGGGUCCCAAGGGAGGUGACAGGAGCAGGGUCCCAAGAGGAGUGACAGGAGCAGGGUCCUGGGGGGGGUGACAGGAGCAGGGUCCCAAGAGGAGUGACAGGAGCAGGGUCCCAAGGGGGUGACAGGAGCAGGGUCCCAAGAGGAGUGACAGGAGCAGGGUCCCAAGGGGGUGGCAGGAGCAGGGUCCCAAGGGAGGUGACAGUCGCUGCCACAGGGCAGGGCAGGGACAGGUCCUGCUGCCCCUGCGUGAAGGGCAGGAUGCAUUUGGAGAGCCAUUCACUGGUAUGGGAGACACAUCUCCAAUCUCUCAAGGAAAUGAGAAAUGUGCUUUAACACCUUGUCCAAGCCCAAAA
rnacentral:lncRNA from 12 species